UUAAUUCACACAGGUCUUGUGACGUCUUCCUGACGCUGUUGGUUUCAAGCAAGAGAUAUCUUUCUAUGGUCUGUUGGCCAUUUCAGAACUUGGGCAAUAAAAUGGUCAAUUCAUUAGAGAGAAACAGCU
rfam:Cavia porcellus supercont2_5 genomic scaffold, whole genome shotgun sequence.